rnacentral:rRNA from 1 species
AGCAGUCGCCGCGGUAAUACGAAGGGUGCAAGCGUUACUCGGAAUUACUGGGCGUAAAGCGUGCGUAGGUGGUGGUUUAAGUCCGUUGUGAAAGCCCUGGGCUCAACCUGGGAAUUGCAGUGGAUACUGGGUCACUAGAGUGUGGUAGAGGAUAGUGGAAUUUCCGGUGUAGCAGUGAAAUGCGUAGAGAUCUGGAGGAAUACCGGUGGCGAAGGCGGCCCCCUGGACAAAGACUGACGCUCAGGUGCGAAAGCGUGGGGAGCAAACAGGAUUAGAUACCCGGGUAGUCCCUGUCUCUUAUAC